UGUCCCCGGCAGGAUGUUGGGAGAAGCCCCUCUCCCUCGUUUCCCGCCCCCUCUCCCAGCGCAGCCUUGUGCUUCGGCUUAACCUAAGUGAGGCGAUCAUUAGGAAAGGCAUUGGAGAGAAGACAGGAGCAUUUCCCGAGGUGUCCGCAGGGUGCCACAAUGGAUGUGGGAUGACUGGAUAAUCACAGCAUGUGGCCACAGGGGGUCUCCGUGGCCAUGUAUCUUGGUGUGCAGAUAUCACAUUGCCACUUCGAGUGACUGGACUAGAGCGUCUGUCUGUCUGUCUGUCUUGGCAUCCUGUCCUCAGAACCCAUGCUGGAAUCUUUUGUUCUUCUCAUAGGGAACCAAGAGGCACGUUGACAUGCUAUUUUGUGAAAUCUCCAAACUGGACACAUCCAGAAAACCCAUCAACCAAAGAUCUGUAAAUUGUGCUGUAUUUCUGCGAUGGGAUACUCAGAGUCAGUGAAUGUGACUGAACCACAGCUACUCAGAAAUAUACAUGAUUCUCAAAACAUACAUGCAGUGAGGGAACAGGAGUAUGAUUCCACAUAUGUGAGUUCCAGAAAAAACAGAACCAGAUGUGGCUGGUGGUAGGCAUUUUCACGUUACCUCAUGUUAUCCUUGGUUGGACCCUCUCUCUCUCUGGAAAGCUGGAAACAGAUAAGGAAGCUGUGGCCCACAGAGAUUAUGUAACUUGUGAAGGCAACACAUCCUGAACAGAGCCUGGAUCUGAAUCUUCUGACCCCGGAGUUCAAGCUCUUUACAUCACAGCUUCCAAGGAGGAAAAGUCCCCUAACUGAUGAAAGUGGCUCAACCUGAACGAAGGAGUCAAAGCCACAUGAAAGCCAUCGCCCAGCUGCAGGGACUCACCCAAGGAAGUGGAGGAGGAAACCAGCUCACCUUCCACCGGGCUGUCAGGAACACAGCGUCCAUGGCCUGGUCACUGAGACGGGGCAGGAUCCCGGCCAUCAGGCUAGGCUGAAGGAAAGAAAAAGAGAACGAGUAAGGCCAGCCCCAGUUUGAAGCUCUCUCACCAGGCAGCCCUGGGACAGGAAAUUCUAAUGAGGUAACAAAUCUCAAGUAAUACACAGUCACUGUGUUUGUGAUAAAUGAAAGCAACCACUAGAAUAGUCAUUUUAGGAGAUUCUAAAGCUAGAUCAAUUUCCAACAUUUAUCCAAGGAAUCCUGUGGUUCUGCCCCUGCUCCUCCCUAGAAUAUAUUCUGCAGCACUCGCCAAGAGACUCAGUACACCAAGGGACCAGACCCUGGGAGAAAUCAGAACUCUGACCUGAAACCCCCAGCAACCAGUCUGGAACCCAAACCACAAGCAAUGCAGCAAGAGGUCCCAAGUCAGGACCUGGUCAACCAAUGCCAGCUUAUCUCCGAUACGUCUACCCCUCCUCCAUCUCGGACCGACAGAAAAGUCAAAUAUGCUCCCCUCCCAAUCACACAGGAUGUACCGCUUCUAUUUAUUUAAUCUGCUUCCAGUUUUUCCAAGCCAAUAACCUCCAAACAUGGCAUAUUUGAAUUUUCCCUUUUUUCCACUAUAAAGCUUCCCCUGCUUCCUUCCAGUCCCUGCCAAACACAAGUGAUAGUGGCUGAGUCCCCUGGUACAGCCAGCUCUGAAUGAAGAACCUUUACCUGUUCUCAUUUGGAGGGGGGAGUCUUCAUUUAUUUCUGCACUACACAGAAUCAGCUCAAAGGGUGUGAGAAUGAUUUUCGGGCAGCUGUCAGGGGUUUCAGGCUACAUAUUAUAUACACAGAGGUAAUGGUCAAGAGAAAAUUCAGAGGACUUCACUUGAUAGCAACAUUUUAUUGAGCGAAAACCAAACCAUGGACGAGGCUUCAAAACUGAAAGUGUGCAGAAGCUGGGCUCUCAACCGUUACCGCUUAGUUUAUAAAGCAUGUGAAAGGGUGGCAAUAGAAGCCACCCCACAAUAUGCCACCGUGGAAUACUGAUUAUUUUGGGCUGUACGCACUCAGAAAACAGCUGUUAAAAAGAGACACCAGGCCCAAAAGGGGCUCACGCGUGCUAAGCCCGGUGUCAGCAAACCAAGGCUGAAAUAGCUGACCUAACUGCAGUUCCGGCCUCUGCUUUCCCUGUGAAGAUGGUAUGUGGGCCUGAAUUAGAAGACACCUCAGGAGUUAAUCAUUUUCCCUCCGGUACCUCCCAUGUAUACACGGGGUAUACACGUUAAGAAAUUUGUUUCAACUUUUUAUCACAGGGGUCUCACCUAAGAAUUCAGAAGGAUAGAGAGAAAAUUACUUUCCUCCCACGCACACGCGUGAGGAAUUACACUAUUUUCUAUUCGGACUGGCUACUAGAAACUUCCAUUCCUUUUAGAAUAGCAGCACUGUACAGGUUUACUUGUUUGUAGCUGACUGGCUGGGAAGCUGCAAGGUCACUCUGACAUGAAGAAAGCAUGUUUCCUUUAAGGACAGAGUCAGUAUUUGAAGGAAAUAAGGACAGUUUUAAGUUUUGGUUCCCCAGCUUUGGGCGGUUGGCCUCUGGGCAUACCCAAACUGCGGACUCCAUUUUGGUUCUACUUUAACCUAAAUUCAGUGUUGUUACUCUCAGGGAGUGCACAAAUGAUGGGAUACAGGGGGGUUUCAUUUUUCUCUUGUGUUUUUCUGGCCGUCAGUGAUCUCUGCUUUAUGUAGGUGCAUCUUUAAGGAAACCCCCAACACUGUUUCUAAGCCCUCCUGCCUCUUAAAGCAAGGAGGCACUCCCCAGGCAGUCCAGAUCAUUGGCUCCAAGGCUGAAGAAGGGAUCUCAACCCUUUCAUUGUCUAAACUAGGUUACCUGCUGUGAUCAUUGUGCACCUAGAAGUCAGAAGCUUUGGUCUAAUUUGUUAAUCUAUAACAAAACCAAAGAAAACAAUAGGAUUAACCAGACAUUCAUUCGUCGGACUCUGUUCUUCCCUAAUGCUGAAGACCUGACACUCAAUACGCAAAAACUGGCGUCUUCAGGAAGACGCUCCGCAAAUGCCCUGUGAUUUCCGCUGAAGACUGGGAUGGGGAGGGCGACGGAGGAGGGAGCGUCUCUCGAGCCCUGACACCUUCUGUGGCGAGGCCACCGUGGCUUUUUCGCGGUACCCACCCCUCCCAUCACACUAGCUCCCUUCUCCCCAAACCUCGGCGCCUCUGACUCCCGCCGCGCCGCCGCCUCCAGGAAGUCCUC